CACAGGAAGUGUCCAGUGGAUCGCAAUGAAGAGUUUUUUUUUCUAUCCUUUUUGGCUAUCGUCCCUAUUGGGCCACAUGUCAGUUACUGCUAUAUUUUAUUAAUUGUCUUUAUUCAAUUGAUAUUCUUGCCUUGUUUUAUUUUUUAUUUAUUGUAUUGGUUAUCAGCUAUUUCAGUAUCAGAGUCUGUUUUGUUACUAUAUGUGUUUAUUCGUGAUGAAUGUGAUAAAAUGGAGUAUGAAUGUGUGUGAUACCGAUGUUUUCAUCUAUGAUUUGUUAGUGAUGACAGGUUGUUAUAACAUAUAUGCGGGAACUAUUUAAAUUUCUAUGUCCGUAUCUGUAAUGAAAUUAUGGAGUAGAAAAGUCACUGCUUGUGAAGAUGCGAGGAUCAGUGAAGUGAAGAAAGUUCGUUGUGUCAUAUUGUGCAGAGGGAUUUUUCAGGUUUCCAUAUAUAUUGUUAAUUUAUUUAACAAUCUGAAAUACUAAAGUUAUAAAAUGUAAAAGUUUCUAUUCGCUGAAAUGAUAAUCAACAAUUCGUCCAAUUUCAAAAAUUGCAAAAUUAUGAUAUCUCAAAACGCUGAAUUCACGAUUCUUUGAAAAUGAACCAAACUUAUCCUGAUAGCCACACUGAUGGAAAUUUAACAUAAAUCUACAACCGCAACAUGACGUCGUCAAAAUCAUCAAGAUGACUUAUUUUUUAUAGAUACAAAAAAAAUUUUUAAUACUUUUUUAUGUGAAUUUUUUUUCUCGACAACUUUUUUUGAAAGUUUUUUACAAAUUUUAUGUUAAUUAUGAAAUAUUUGCAAAAAACCUGUUUUUGGGGGUGUUUUUAUUUUUUUCUUAUUAACCCCUAGGGUGAUGACUUUUUUAUUUUGGGGGGUGAUAUCAUAGACUUUCGACCAAAUUUGCACCUAUUUUCGAGAAAUGUCUUCCAUUUCGGAGUUUUGACUGAACGAUUGAGAAGUUUCAAAUCCAAGUUAAAUGGCGUGACCUUACAAUCAAUUUGAAAGUAACUUUUUGGUGUUUACAUCUGGGCAGCCAGUUGAGCUCAACCAACAGUCGAAUCGAUCAUAAAUUUCCACGUCAAACAACUUUUCAUUGGGUAUUUCAACCUUCUCAGGCGACUAUGAGACACAAUAAAUCAGUUAUAAUUAUGGACCUGAAUUCUAACAAUUUUUUGUAAUCUUCAGUUUCCUUUUUGUAAUUAACUAAUCACAUUUUGACAACAUGCUAUUAUUUAAGUUAAACGAAAUCGGGAAUUUUGUAUACCUAAGGUAAAAGCACCAAUUAUUGACAGGGGUACAAUUAUUGAUACCCUACCGUAUUUAACGUCAUACUUAAUUACCUACUAUAUUAAUAAUGAUUGGAUGUAUACAUUGUUAAACAAUCUUUAUAAUUUAAAAAAUUAAAAAAAAAUUAUUGUUAGUGAAAAAUAUCGAAUAGUUAUGAAUAAAAAAAAAAAAAGUUUAUUCGUGUCUAUCAAAACAUCUUGUGAGCGUAAAUUUUCUUAACUAUUCCAUUUAAAACAGCAGUCUUUUGAAACAAUGAUUUUUUAUCAUUUUUUCCAUCUAAUUACAUCAACUCUUUUUUUAUAAAUAAAUAAAAUAUGAAAAAUUAACAAUAUCAGAUAUUUACAGUAAAUUUUAUACUUUUUAACUUUAAAAUAGUGGAUGUCAAUAAUUAGUACGUACUAUUGAAGUUGUAUCUAAUAUUGACAGGUCAGUAGA